rnacentral:rRNA from 1 species
CGAAUCUUUGAACGCACAUUGCGCCCGCCAGUAUUCUGGCGGGCAUGCCUGUUCGAGCGUCAUU